CCUUCCUUCUUCUCCAAUCUCUACUCUUGUAAUAUCCUCUAUCAAGUAACAAAUGCUUAAAUCCAACACUGAAGCUCCUAAAGUUGAGAAUUUGUGAUGACUAGAUCCAACAAUGUUAACCCUCUCUCUAGUCCUUCAGCUGCAAAUGGCAGAAACUCAAACACAUUUCACAAGAACGUGGGCGUUAACCCCAUUUUUGAGUAAGCUCAAGCCCUACAUUCUCCACACUCAGUCAUUUCACCUUUUUCUUUUUCCUGGUUUGCAGAUUCUCUGUUCAUGUACAGAUAAAGAACAACAAAGAAACCGUUAUUAUAUUAUUAAAACAACUAUUCUACCCACUUUAUUGUCUAAUCAGUCAUCACCCCAAACAAGAAGACGUGACAUUGAUGCUACCGAUCUCUCGGAUCCCUAAUCCACAAUUCCCAAAAAUUUGCAGAAUCUCGAUAAAUUUGCAAGUUGCAGUCUUUGCUUCUUCUACCGGGCACGUACAGAGAUACUCCAUGUUAUAAAGAGAGAUGAUGGGACGGAGGGGGAGUUGAGUUGAGGGAGAAGGCACUGAAACAUUUACGAAUUUUAUUGAUUUUUGCUGAGGGAGAUGGCGAGAGGUGGAGAGUGGUUGGGCGGGGUUUACCGCAGCGGGAGAAGGGGGAAAUGGUGUUCGUACAAGUGGGCAACAAUCAUUGUCUGCUCCAUCAACACCGUGGUUGCUUUCUUUGUGCUUCACUCUCUCUUCACUUCUCUGUACAUGUACAACGAUUACCAGAAGGAUUUUAGAUAUAGCCCAGAUCAGAUUAGGACAAUGGAAGACUCUAUUCGAAUACGAAAAGGAUCAGAACCUACAGAGCUUAUUAAGUUGGUAACACAAAUAAAGGACAAGCUUUUAGUGGAAGAAAAGGUUGUGGAAGCACCACAUUCCAUGAAACAGAAGAUAACAGAUGAGAUUAUAGCCACUUUGAGAGGCUUGGAAGGUGUUGUGAAUGCAACCUUGCAGACAGAGGCAGUUGAAAACUGGCGCAAGGCAAAAGUAGAAGAAGCCAAUAAAGUUAUACAUGGGAAUAAAUCAAAUUCGAGUAUUGCACCAGAGGAAGCUGUUGCAUUAGCAAGAGCUUUGGAGAUUGAUUGGUUUGAGCUGUCUGAGGAAAUUGGUCUCCAUAUACCAGUUGAGGUCAUUAAUAAGGAACAUUAUGACAAACCUGAUGGAGCGGAAUUUGAAAGUGAAAUCAUUGCUGGCAAAAAACUUCCUCCUGAAUGUCAUGCAGAGCUUCAUACAGAUUAUGAUGGCGAUGCAGUCAGAUGGGGCCUAACCCACCUUAAAGAAUCUGCAUAUGACUGUUGUAUGGCUUGUUUGGAUCAAGCUAAGCAUGCAAAACCAGGCGAGAAAAAGUGCAAUAUAUGGGUUUACUGCCCAUCUGAAACGGGAUGUUAUUCCCCUGAUAUUUAUCAACAUAAACAUCAGGAAUGCUGGUUGAAAUCUUCAGAGAAUCCCAGAUUGAACUUUAAGGCGCGGUAUUCUGAAUCUUUUAGAAAUGUCAAUCCAAAUGCACCAUUAGUCGUUCCAUGGAUGUCUGGAGUUGUCAGUGUAUAAGCUACUCACUAACAGAAGAAGAUAACGAAACAUUGAUCCUUGAAGAAAGCUGCUUUAUAGCCGUGUGGAGUGGAUUUCCAAUAGAAUACUGAUUACUGUUAAGCAUAGUAAAGUUUGCACUCCAAGUAUUUAGUGCUGAAGGGUACUUUUCACCUGCAAGUUUACCAACAAGCUCUCCAACCAUCAUCUCUCACCCAAAAAAUGGCCUGCUAUCGUGAUGAAACCUCACCAAAUCCUUCCAAGAGAUGCAAAUGCCUUUCCUCGACUUUGAAGGAUGCAUUUGCUAACUGCCAUGGUUUAUGCUGCAAGUUCUCUACUUCCAGACUGGAAAACGAAGAAGAAGAAGAAGAAGAAGCUCUAACCAGUGAUUACGAAGAAGAUGAAGAAUUUGUCUCGGCAGUCAUAAGCAAAUACCUGGAAUCAAAAUUCAGGCAGAAGAUGAGCCUUAAUUUGUGCUGUGAUUUCUCCCCUGCUGCCGGAGAUUUGUUCAUCCCUGCAAAGGCAAUAUUAAUGCAGCAGAAGCUGGGAAACAAUGGUGAAGAAAGAGAGGAGUUUGUGUCUGUUGGCAGCCAUUUCUCUCACUGCUCAUCAAGCUCUACCGGCAGCAUGGAGGCAUUUGUGUCGGCCAAGACGAGCUUUUCCCGGUGCUCGAGCUUGAGCGGGAUCGAUUUCCCUGAUUUGUGGAGGCGGGGCUCGAACAUUGUGCAGUUUUCUCAGUGCGAAGGAUGGCCGUUUGGUCUUUGCCGGCGGGCUUUGUUGCUCCCACCUCUGCCCAAAUCUCCGUCUGAUUCUUGGAAGUGGCGCAAGACUGCUGGAUUUAUCAAGUUACAUUGAAAUGCUCAUGUUAUUCUAUCUUUAUGUACAUAAAUCAUAAAGUUCAGCCGAAAGUAUAGAUUAGACUUUUGUUUACUGUAUACAAGAAAUCCUUCACUUUCAAAAGUUGUAUUCACACUGCCGCUAGUUAGACUGGUCUUUCUUUCUAAAUUUUACUCAUUUUGUGACUAAUUGAGCUGCUUAUGCAAACAUUUUAAAAACAUUAUUGGAAU